GAUGAACGCUGGCGGCGUGCCUAAUACAUGCAAGUCGAGCGAACAGACGAGGAGCUUGCUCCUCUGACGUUAGCGGCGGACGGGUGAGUAACACGUGGAUAACCUACCUAUAAGACUGGGAUAACUUCGGGAAACCGGAGCUAAUACCGGAUAAUAUAUUGAACCGCAUGGUUCAAUAGUGAAAGACGGUUUUGCUGUCACUUAUAGAUGGAUCCGCGCCGCAUUAGCUAGUUGGUAAGGUAACGGCUUACCAAGGCAACGAUGCGUAGCCGACCUGAGAGGGUGAUCGGCCACACUGGAACUGGGACACGGUCCGGACUCCUACGGGAGGCAGCAGUAGGGAAUCUUCCGCAAUGGGCGAAGGCCUGACGGAGCAACGCCGCGUGAGUGAUGAAGGUCUUCGGGUCGUAAAACUCUGUUAUUAGGGAAGAACAAAUGUGUAAGUAACUAUGCACGUCUUGACGGUACCUAAUCAGAAAGCCACGGCUAACUACGUG
rnacentral:rRNA from 1 species